AAUCAAGUGGAGGACAAGUCUGGUGCCAGCACCCGCGGUAAUUCCAGCUCCACUAGCGUAUAUUAAAGUUGUUGCAGUUAAAAAGCUCGUAGUUGAACCUCUGUCUGGGGCUAGUUUUGGCUUUGGUCAGGCUAGUUCUAGCCAUCCGCCUACAAGACUUAGAGGGCAUUCAGUUGUUCACUAGGAGGAGUAGGCAUUUUACUUUGAAAAAAUUAGAGUGUUUAAGGCAGGCAAUCGCCCGCAUAUAUUAGCAUGGAAUAAUAGAAUAGGACUCUUUUCCAUCUCGUUGGUUAUUGGAAUCGUGUAAUGAUUAAUAGGGACAGUUGUGGGCAUUUGUAUUUAAUUGUCAGAGGUGAAAUUCUUGGAUUUAUUAAAGACAAACUAACGCGAAAGCAUUUGCCAAGGAUGUUUUCAUUAAUCAAGAACGAAAGUUAGGGGAUCAAAGACGAUCAGAUACCGUCCUAGUCUUAACUAUAAACUAUUCCACUCAAUGUUUGACUGGCUUAUAUAACCAGUUGAGCGUUGUAUGAGAAAUCAAAGUCUUUAGGUUCUGGGGGGAGUAUGGUUGCAAAGCUGAAACUUAAAGGAAUUGACGGAAGAGCACAACCAGGAGUGGAUUCUGCGGCUUAAUUUGACUCAACACGGGGAAACUUACCAGGUUAAAACAAUAGUGGGAUUGACAGUUUGAGAGCGCUUUCUUGAUUGGUUGGGUGGUGGUGCAUGGCCGUUCUUAGUUGGUGGAGUGAUUUGUCUGCUUAAUUGCGUUAACGAACGAGACCUUAACCUGCUUACUAGACUGGCGAUCAUCAAUCGUUAGCUCUUCUUAGAGGGACUUUGGUUGUUUUAACUCCAAGGAAGUUUGAGGCAAUAACAGGUCUGUGAUGCCCUUAGAUAUCCUGGGCCGCACGCGUCAUACAAUGACUAGUUCAGAAAGUUUUCUCCUGACCCGAAAGGGGAUGGGUAAUCUUGAUAAUACUAGUCGUGUUAGGGAUCGAUCUUUGCAAUUAUAGAUCUUGAACGGGGAAUUCCUAGUAAGUGCGGUUCAUCAGACCGUACUGAUUACGUCCCUGCUCUUUGUACACACCGCCCGUCGCUUCUACCGAGUGGGUGGUCCGGUGAGAUAAUUGAACUUCGCAGGUAACUGAGAGGAAAGAUUAUCAAACCUAUCCACCU
rnacentral:rRNA from 1 species